rnacentral:lncRNA from 1 species
CUUCAGUGUGAUCACCAUGUCUCGCUUGAACACAAUCCAGAGAGGAGCAUCCUGGAUGACAGCAUGGCGCAGAGUGCCAGGCUUGGGGUUGACAGGAUCAUCAUCACCAGGGUCAGUGACCACAUAGAAGCGUCCAUCACGGCCCCCAAUUGCAUUUCGCCCAAAGCCAAUGCCGCAGUCUGCAAGGCGCUUACGGUUCUUUUGCCAAUUGUGGUCACAUCGCCAGCAGUCAUCAAUGGGAUUACCAGUUCCACACGAGAAAUAACCUAAUUUCCUUCUCUCUGUGCUGUUCCGAAUGCUCCUGCACAAUGAAAAAGACCCUUUUUACUAUUAACAUUAUCACAACACCUUUUUUAACCACAAUUCAAGCACCGAGCACCAAAUUAGACUAUCAUAUUUUCUUAGUGUCAUCAUGUCCUAGUCACUAUGCAAUUAUUCAUAAUUCAUUCACAUUUUACUAUUUGUGUGCCAUUCCUGUAGGGUGUCUGAGCGUGUCGGUGGAGUUUAUUUAUUAUUUAUACCCAACUUCCUCCUAUUCUUUGCUCUCCAAUGACCAAAAAAACCCUCAUCUUGGAAGGAGGUAGUACACAACCACAAAACCAAGUUAGUUCAGGAGUACAGACGGGUCCUUUCAAUAUAACUGAUUAUGUAGGUUAGAUUUAAGAACAGGGUGGGAAGUACUUUUUUCCUUCUUUGGCCACACAUGGGUGACGCUGGCACAUGAAAAUGAUGUAUGAACAGCAAUACAUUAUAGAUAAUAGGCAUAAAAUAUUUGAUUUUGGUAUUAUAUAACAACAUCCUUCUGUUCUUUGCACCAAAGAUCGGAUCAAAUUGAUUAUGGGAAUAACAUUUUAACUACCUAGGUGUACAUAUAUAGAAGGCAAUAGCAUCUUUGUUAAUCUAUUUCUUUUAUCACAUCCACAAGCAUGUGAACUACAGGCGGAAGUGAAACUUCAGAGCUGAAAUUAAAUAAAUAAGGCCAAUGUAAUAAAAAGCAGUUGAUUAGGACAUUCCUCCCUCCCACUGUCGUUAUUCAAAUAAGCCUCGGUUGAAUGCAUCCAAGGGCAAUUUUUACUUGAAGGGGAAAUACAAAAUAAAAGGAAAAAGAAUCAAUAUAGAUGCAUUAAAAGGGAAAGAGAAGGCGUGGAUGAGGAAAAGAGAGAUGAUGAAAAACAACGUGGAGAACACGCGGAUCUCGCCCAACAAGGGCAUGUGGAAUGUGGCAGAGUAAGAACAUGGUCCAUUGAUUCCUCAGAUGCCAGCAAAAACUUUUAUCAGUUAUCAAAAAGAAAAGCACCAAAGAGAUGCAUAGCAACGGUCGUUAGACCCACCGAAUACGUCAAAAGCAGCGGUAGAGGCAAUUAGUGGGGUUUGUUGAGUAGGGUGUGUUGUGGCCUUGUGAGUGGGUCCAACAACAAUGGGGGCAGUAACAAGAGCCAAAUCCUGAACCACCCCCCCCUAACCACCCUCACCGCUUUAAUUACUGAAUGCACUGUGACUCUCAACAACAUAUGCUGUGAAAGAAUUUGAGAGAGAGAGAGAGAAACCCACAUGUCCACCAUUGAAGCCACUGCAUCUGGGUCAUCAACUGCAUGCUCAUUCCUGAAACAGCAAAACAAUUAACGCACCAUUAUUACUCUGUCGUUAUUCUUUAACCCGCAUUUAUUCAUGAAAAUGAGCAAGGGUGUUUUAGUGAUUUAGACAUUUAGUCUUGUAUACUACGUGUAUAUCAGACAGAGCGAGUACAGAGAAAGAGGUAACGAUGCAACUCGUCGGCGGGGAAGUGCUCGAAAAUGUAAUUUCCACUCUCGCAUGUCUAAAUUUACCAAAAUACCACUGCAGAUUGUCACGUGGGCUGGAGAAUUGAGGGUGUUAUGCUAAGGUGAUAAUGGGAAAUUAAGAAGUGUGGACACAGCCAAUGAGGGUUUCUCAUUUCAGCAGUAGAAUCCAAAGAACAAACAUAACGGAACAAACGGUCCAGAUCGAGAGAAGCAGAUCUCAACGGUCAAGAUUAUCAUAAGAUUGGGAAAAUGGUGAACGUUAACAGAUCUACGGCUCAGAUUCAUUCAGAGACAAAACUGACGGCUCAGAUCCAGCAAUGACUGCAUUGACGUUAGAAAAAGCUUUAGGUAACUGAAAGUCUUUCACUGAGGACUAACCUGGCAGCCAUUGAUGAGUUGUUUGAGCUCUGCAACUGCUCUGUUCCUCCAUUUCUGCAUAUAUUAAAUUUUUCAAUGAGAUUAAAAGCUCAAAGUACACUAUCAACAGUACAAACACGGUUUCUCAGAAUUUUCAGAGGCCAAUAAAAUGACUAUUAAAGGAAACACAGAAACUGCACAGCUCUGUUUGGUUAUUGCCAAGAAAACUUAAGAAAGUGAAAGAAACCAAAAUUCUCUAAGGCUCUCACUCUAUACAUUUUACGUUUCAUUCUUCGGAAACUAAAACAAGUUGAGAAAAAGUACUCCAAAACCUCAUUGUACUUUCCCUUUCUCAGCAGCCAAAUAGAAAACCGUAACCAUGAAAAGAAGCCCCAAUUUGUUCGCAAUUCAACACAAAAGGAAGAAAAUCGUAUAAUGUACUAAAGUUUUCGGCUCAAAAACCAAACAUAAAACCUAAAAAACGAGUCGGUAAAGAGCUGCAAAACAGAGGAAGUUAGAGAGAGAAACAAACCGGUCAUUGGCCAUCACAGCGACGAAGAGGAAAAAAAGCAGGAGUGAGCAGAGGGAAGUCCACCCCUUGGAACCCGCCAUUGGCAUUGGG